rnacentral:tRNA from 2 species
UCCCCUGUAGCUCAAUUGGCAGAGCAGCCGGCUGUUAACCGGCAGGUUGUUGGUUCGAGUCCAACCGGGGGAGCCA